AAAGAAUUAGUUAAAUAAAUAACAUUAGUAUGUCAAACUAAAAUUAUUAAUUAUUAAUAUUCUUUG
rnacentral:tRNA from 1 species